rnacentral:rRNA from 1 species
GACGAACGCUGGCGGCGUGCCUAAUACAUGCAAGUAGAACGCUGAAGAGAGGAGCUUGCUCUUCUUGGAUGAGUUGCGAACGGGUGAGUAACGCGUAGGUAACCUGCCUUGUAGCGGGGGAUAACUAUUGGAAACGAUAGCUAAUACCGCAUAACAAUGGAUGACACAUGUCAUUUAUUUGAAAGGGGCAAUUGCUCCACUACAAGAUGGACCUGCGUUGUAUUAGCUAGUAGGUGAGGUAAUGGCUCACCUAGGCGACGAUACAUAGCCGACCUGAGAGGGUGAUCGGCCACACUGGGACUGAGACACGGCCCAGACUCCUACGGGAGGCAGCAGUAGGGAAUCUUCGGCAAUAGGGGCAACCCUGACCGAGCAACGCCGCGGGAGUGAAGAAGGUUUUCGGAUCGUAAAGCUCUGUUGUAAGUCAGGAACGGGUGUGAGAGUGGAAAGUUCACACUGUGACGGUAGCUUACCAGAAAGGGACGGCUAACUACGUG